rnacentral:rRNA from 1 species
UCAUCGAAUCUUUGAACGCACCUUGCGCUCCUUGGUAUUCCGAGGAGCAUGCCUGUUUGAGUGU